rnacentral:lncRNA from 1 species
UACUCUGUAAGUAUUUGAUAACUUCUGUUUUGUAGAUGAGUUAAUUAAUUGAGAUUUUGACGAUGUGGUUGCUUAUUUUUCGACUGACAGUUUGUGAGAGACUGGAUCUGGUUUGUUUCAUCAUAAAACAGAACAUUUUGGGCAGAAUAUAGCUGGAUUAAAUGUUAAAGAGUUAAGACUUGUUGAUUCUAUACCUUUCUUCUACAUUUAGAAUUUCUUAAUUCUUCACCAGAAUCAGCCAUUAGGACUAGGUUCCUCGCAUUCUCUUCCAUUUAUACUUAGGUGAGUCUCUUAGAUUUUUAUGGCUUUUAUUUUUUUGUAUCCUUUUAUAAACCAUGUCCCCUUUGUGGUUGGAUUCUGGUCUGUUCCCAUUUGGCUUUUACAUUAUAUGUUGAGGGAUCUUUUAGCUUCCGUACCAUCCUUCUCCAAAUUAUCUUGUGUUUCUGGGUCUGUCUGACUCUUACUCUGAUGGUACUAGCACCACCAAAGACAGGCUGUCUAUAAAUUAGCCGUGCAUUCUCUGUUGAACAGCAAAACAAGUUGAUUCCAUGAAGGUUAAAGUGUAAUUUAUUCUCUGCCACCUAAUUCUGUUCGUUCAUCUGCUUUAUAUCAAAGUGGUUCAUGCCCUCCACACUCAUUCUCUCAACAUAAUGGCUCCUAUGACUAUCUUCUAGUUGUCCAAGAAAUCAGAAACUAAAAUUGUCUUUUGAAAUUAGCCAAUUCUAAAAAGCAAAAUUAAUUUUUCACAUUCUGACCUUAAGGUGAAAUCUAUGUUAAUUUUCAGUAAGAUCUUAUUCAAAAUAUUUAUUUCUCCAGUUGGUUUCUGUUGAAAUAAUAUUGGAGGCAGAUUCUAUCAAAUUAUUCAAGCAAGAUGUUUUUUUUUCUUUCACAUUAUUAAUUUUCCUUUACAGCUCUCUGCAUAUUUUCAGUCACAUAUUUUAUUUCUUUUAAUUAUCAUACUCAAAUAUUACUACCAUGUUAUUGUUGUAUUUCUGUAUCUUUUAUAUUGUACAGAAAACAGCAGAUCUAGCUGUAUUUCUGUGUUUCUUUCUAUAUCUUUUAUAUUAUAUAGUAAACAGCAGCUCUAGCUGUGUUUCUCCUAUUUUAUGUGUCUAUAUUUCUUUUGCGCACCACAAAGUCUGCAGUUAUCUCUGUGCUUCUUCCUUGGGAAACUAAAGCAUUAUCAUGAAGCAUUAUACGUUUCUCUUGAUCAUUAUCAAUAGGACUUCAAAAGUGUAGAUGUAGUUAGUCCGUGAGCCAAAGUAUAUUUUGUCUUUAAAUAUUGUAAUAUGUUGGUAGAGAGAAAGCAUAACAACAUACAAUAAAUACAUAAUAUAUUGUGAAAAAAACAAAAUUGCACAAUUAAUUUUGAACAUUGUGACUUUGUGAAAGGUCAUGCAUGAAGUAAAUAUGCAGGGAUAUCAUUAAAAUAUAUGUACAUAUUAUUAUUACUGAGAUAUCUCCAAAUAUAACUUCAGAUAAGUUUCAACUGGCUUUGGUUCAGGCUAUAUUGUCUGCUAUAGAGAAAUAUACCAAAGUUGUACAUGGAACCAGUUGGAUAUAUGUUUCAGUUUCUUUGUGCUUAAUUUGGUUUGUGUUUGCCCACUUAGGUUAGAUGGGUCUGUAGCUCUGACCUCACCACACUUUGCAGUACUUACUGUUCUUCCUCAGUAAGAUAAGCACACUAAAAACUGCAUAAUAUUUACUACAUAAUUGUAAUAUAAUAUAUGCUAAUUACUAAAGGGUUACAUAAGUGCAGUAGAGAAAGGUUUAAGCACAAAACCUUUCUGCAUGAGUUUUUCCCCAAAUUUUUACUUGCUUGCUUUCAAAAUAUAUAUAAGAACACAAAUUAGGUUUAAAAUUUUCUGCAGUUGUUUCAGAAUUGAUGUAGUCUAUGAACGCAUCAAUAAAAUUCAACUGAAACAGAUGUAAAUUUUAAACCCCUUUAGUGUUCUUUUUAUACCUACACCACACCAGGAACCGACCCUGAGUCGGAUACACGGUUUAUAUUGGGUUUGGUACCUACAUACAUACACACACACACAUGAUACCUCAUGGUUGUUUUACCCCAAUGUCAUGGUACCUAGCCAAUCCUAGCAUCCUACUUGUGGAUAUCCCUAGAUUCUAAUGAAUCUUGUAACUAAUCUCUCUCUCUCUGUAAUAAAUAUUUGGCAACAGUGGAAGUGGAGUUGUGUAUUGAAACUUUGUUGUUUUGCCUCACAUUCUGGAUUGACCGGAACAGGAUCAAUCCCUUCCACAUUUUGACCUUUACUGAGGUCAAUACAAUUUAUCCUUGCCCCUUAUGUCUUUUUUAUUUUUCGUCUUCAUAACAUACCAGUUGAACAAUUUAUUAACCAGAGUAACUAAUUGGAUUAUUGAAUCGGCAAACCACUUUCCUCUUUCUCAUUGGGUCUGCUACAUGCACACACACACACACACACACACACACACACACACACACACACACACACACACACACACACACACACACUCCUCCUCAUAAUAUUUGAAUACGUUUCCCCCCAUCCCCAAUAGUGGGUGAUUGUGGGGUGAAGUUUAUAAGGAGAAUGUCUGUCUGACCUCCUCCGCUUUUAAUACGAGAGCUGGAUCAGUUGUUCUGUGCCGUUGACUUACUCAUCAAAAUGGAGGCCGUAUUGUUUUUCUGAAAGGUGAGUUUAGAUUUUUCUUACCUCUUUGUCCUGAACAUAUCAAUGCCUUUCUCUCUAUCUCUCUUUCUCUCUGUUUUGCAACAUCAAACUGUUUUCAUCUCCUCCUCUAUUUGAUUUUCCCACAAAUACCCCAUCCCUUUCUAUCUGUUUCUCAACCAGGGCUGUGGAGUUGAAACAAAAAACUGCAACAACUCCUCCUCCUCCUCUAUAAAAUUGACUGUGGUCUCCAUAUCUCGUAAAGAAUAGGCAUAAGCUUGUACUUUGAAUAGGCCUCUAUGUUAUAACUGGUUUAUAUUAAAGAAGAAAGAUAUUGUGAGUCAAAGUCGGUAUAGUUUUACCGACUCUGACUCCAGCUACCCCUUAAUUGUUUCCAACUCCAUAACUCCAACUCCACAGCCCUGUUCUCAACUAGGGUCCACUUGACCCUUGGGGUCCGUAUAAGAUUUAAUUGUUAAAAUUUAUCUGCAAUAAAUUGGUUAUGCUUCAACAAAACACAAACUAUUUUUUUACACAAUUCUUAAUAAUAUAUAAUUCUAAAAAUAUAAUAGGAUUUUUUAAAUAUCAAAUGGCUAUGAGGGUCCACCCAAAUAAAAUACGAAACAAAGAGGACCAUGGGGGGGGGUGAGAACCACUGCUCUAAACACUGAUAUAAAAACUUAAUGAAUAUGUAAAGAAAACAUGGAAGCUUGUAUGAUUCCAUGCUACCUUAAUCUCUCCUCUGCCACAUUUAAUCUAUUCAGGACAGAUGGACAUAUCUUCUUGUCUUUAUAUGUAAUUGAAAAGUUUGAAUAAUUUAUUAUGCAGGCUGGAUACUUCUGUCCUCUUGCAGUGAAUUCCUGUUUGAUAGAGAGCUGCAGCGGUCCUUAUGACCCUGCAUGUGUAUCAUUCACUGUAGGCCUCUCAUGAAGAUC